rnacentral:rRNA from 1 species
AACGAACGCUGGCGGCAUGCCUAACACAUGCAAGUCGAACGAAGCCUUCGGGCUUAGUGGCGCAUGGGUGCGUAACGCGUGGGAAUCUGCCCCUUGCUUCGGUAUCACAGCAAGAACUGCCUGCUAAUACAGGAUGAAGUCUUCGGACAAAAGAUUUAUCGGCACGGGAUGAGCCCGCGUAGGAUUAGGUAGUUGGUGGGGUAAAGGCCUACCAAGCCGACGAUCCUUAGCUGGUCUGAGAGGAUGAUCAGCCACACUGGGACUGAGACACGGCCCAGACUCCUACGGGAGGCAGCAGUGGGGACUAUUGGACAAUGGACGCAAGUCUGAUCCAGCAAUGCCGCGUGAGUGAUGAAGGCCUUAGGGUUGUAAAGCUCUUUUACCAGGGAUGAUAAUGACAGUACCUGGAGAAUAAGCUCCGGCUAACUCCGUG